rnacentral:rRNA from 1 species
UUUCCGGUUGAUCCUGCCGGACCUGACUGCUAUCGGAUUGAUACUAAGCCAUGCGAGUCUUUGUAGUAAUACAAGGCAGACGGCUCAGUAACACGUAGUCAACCUACCCUAUGGACGAGAAUAAUCUCGGGAAACUGAGCAUAAUUCUUGAUAGAUCAUAAUGCCUGGAAUGGUUUAUGGUUAAAAUGAUUCGUCGCCAUAGGAUGGGACUGCGGCCUAUCAGCUUGUUGGUAAGGUAAUGGCCCACCAAGGCGAUUACAGGUACGGGCUCUGAGAGGAGAAGCCCGGAGAUGGGUACUGAGACACGGACCCAGGCCCUAUGGGGCGCAGCAGGCGAGAAAACUUUGCAAUGUGCGAAAGCACGACAAGGUUAAUCCGAGUGAUUUCUGCUAAAGAAAUCUUUUGUCAGUCGUAAAACCACCGGCGAAUAAGGGGUGGGCAAGUUCUGGUGUCAGCCGCCGCGGUAAAACCAGCACCUCAAGUGGUCAGGAUGAUUAUUGGGCCUAAAGCAUCCGUAGCCGGCUUUGUAAGUUUUCGGUUAAAUCCACGUGCUCAACGCAUGGGCUGCCGAAAAUACUGCAUGGCUAGGGAGUGGGAGAGGUAGACGGUACUCAGUAGGAAGGGGUAAAAUCCUUUGAUCUAUUGAUGACCACCUGUGGCGAAGGCGGUCUACCAGAACACGUUCGACGGUGAGGGAUGAAAGCUGGGGGAGCAAACCGGAUUAGAUACCCGGGUAGUCCCAGCCGUAAACGAUGCAGACUCGAUGAUGCAUUGGCAUAAUAGCCAAUGCAGUGUCGCAGGGAAGCCGUUAAGUCUGCCGCCUGGGAAGUACGUACGCAAGUAUGAAACUUAAAGGAAUUGGCGGGGGAGCACCACAAGGGGUGAAGCCUGCGGUUCAAUUGGAUUCAACGCCGGG